GACGAACGCUGGCGGCGUGCUUAACACAUGCAAGUCGAACGGAAAGGCCCUGCUUUUGUGGGGUGCUCGAGUGGCGAACGGGUGAGUAACCCGUGAGUAACCUGCCCUUGACUUUGGGAUAACUUCAGGAAACUGGGGCUAAUACCGGCUAGGAGCUCCUGCUGCAUGGUGGGGGUUGGAAAGUUUCGGCGGUUGGGGAUGGACUCGCGGCUUAUCAGCUUGUUGGUGGGGUAGUGGCUUACCAAGGCUUUGACGGGUAGCCGGCCUGAGAGGGUGACCGGCCACAUUGGGACUGAGGUACGGCCCAGACUCCUACGGGAGGCAGCAGUGGGGAAUAUUGCACAAUGGGCGGAAGCCUGAUGCAGCAACGCCGCGUGCGGGAUGACGGCCUUCGGGUUGUAAACCGCUGUCGCCUGUGACGAAGCGUGAGUGACGGUAAUGGGUAAAGAAGCACCGGCUAACUACGUG
rnacentral:rRNA from 1 species